rnacentral:rRNA from 1 species
CUACGGGCUGCACCAGUGGGGAAUUUUGGACAAUGGGCGCAAGCCUGAUCCAGCCAUUCCGCGUGAGUGAAGAAGGCCUUCGGGUUGUAAAGCUCUUUCGCAAGGGAAGAAACGAUACGGGUUAACACCUCGUGUUAAUGACGGUACCUUGAUAAGAAGCACCGGCUAACUACGUGCCAGCAGCCGCGGUAAUACGAGGGUGCAAGCGUUAAUCGGAAUUACUGGGCGUAAAGCGUGCGCAGGCGGUUUGAAAAGUCAGAUGUGAAAUCCCCGGGCUCAACCUGGGAACUGCGUUUGAAACUGGCAAGCUAGAAUAUGGUAGAGGGGGGUAGAAUUCCAGGUGUAGCAGUGAAAUGCGUAGAGAUGUGGAGGAAUACCAAUGGCGAAGGCAGCCCCCUGGGAUAAUAUUGACGCUCAUGCACGAAAGCGUGGGGAGCAAACAGGAUUAGAUACCCGAGUAGUC